rnacentral:snRNA from 1 species
ACACUUCCCUGGCAGAAACGAUGCCACAAUCAGGAAGGUGGUUUUCCCAGGGUAGUGCUUGUCCAUUGCAGCCUGGAUAUGUUGGCGCCUGUGAUCUCCCCAAGCGUAGGGAACACAGCGUAUAGUUUGUGGUAGUGAGGGACUAUGUUUGUGUCUGCCCUUU